rnacentral:rRNA from 1 species
CUCCCACGAGCCUAGUAACGGCGAGUGAAGCGGCAACAGCUCAAAUUUGAAAUCUGGCCCUAGCGGUCCGAGUUGUAAUUUGUAGAGGAUGCUUUUGGUGAGGUGCCUUCCGAGUUCCCUGGAACGGGACGCCGGAGAGGGUGAGAGCCCCGUACGGUUGGACGCCAAACCUCUGUAUAGCUCCUUCGACGAGUCGAGUAGUUUGGGAAUGCUGCUCUAAAUGGGAGGUAAAUUUCUUCUAAAGCUAAAUACCGGCCAGAGACCGAUAGCGCACAAGUAGAGUGAUCGAAAGAUGAAAAGCACUUUGAAAAGAGGGUUAAAUAGCACGUGAAAUUGUUGAAAGGGAAGCGUUUGCGACCAGACUUUUUCCAGGCGGAUCAUCCGGCGUUCUCGCCGGUGCACUCCGCCUGGUUGAGGCCAGCAUCGGUUUCCUUAGGGGGAUAAAGGCCUGGGGAACGUAGCUCCUUCGGGAGUGUUAUAGCCCCUGGCGUAAUACCCCUCGGGGGACCGAGGAACGCGCUCUGCAAGGAUGCUGGCGUAAUGGUCGUCAACGACCCGUCUUGAAACACGGACCAAGGAGUCGAACAUUUGUGCGAGUGUUUGGGUGUCAAACCCUCACGCGUAAUGAAAGUGAACGGAGGUGAGAGCCCUUACGGGUGCAUCAUCGACCGAUCCUGAUGUCUUCGGAUGGAUUUGAGUAAGAGCAUAACUGUUCGGACCCGAAAGAUGGUGAACUAUGCGUGGAUAGGGUGAAGCCAGAGGAAACUCUGGUGGAGGCUCGCAGCGGUUCUGACGUGCAAAUCGAUCGUCAAAUCUGCGCAUGGGGGCGAAAGACUUAUCGAACCAUCUAACUAGCUGGAUACCGCCGC